AUGCACACAAGGCAAACCUGGAGGAGUCACAGAUCCGAUCAACACACAGCACGUAUGUGUUCACGAUGCAUGCACCAGCAUGCAGUGAACAUGCAUGAUGAGGGCUGGGUUAAUAGUCGCAUGACAAAUGUACGGACCGAUACGUACGUGUUCAUGCCUGUAGCGCAGGUGAGGACGGUGUACUGGCCGACCGGCACCAUGGCGGAGGGGCUAGCGAGGCGCGGCGCCAUAUGCGGCCGCGCAACGACGAACGGAACGAACGCAUGCAUGCAUGAAAGAUCACUAAGAUAUUGGCACGGCUCAAUCAGAACCACCGCCGCGGAUGGCUCCGGCCGGCCGGCCGGCGUGGUCUGA
rnacentral:rRNA from 1 species